AGCAGCUACGUGUUUGAUUAAGUGCAAACCUUGUUUUUUAGAGUGUAAUUUUGAAAGCUAAUUUAAUCAAGAUCCCAGUUUCAUUUUGUUGAAAACAGCAAAAGAAUAAUAAUUAGCUAUUUAAGAAAAUGCAAGAAAUUCAACACUAUAUUUUUAUAUUUUCAUGUUAUGUUUCUCUCACUAACAACACAAUGCAGCAACUAUAUAUGAAGCUAACCCACUCUUAAUUAAUAUGUGUUUACAUGCAUUGUCAUUUAUUUAAGUUCAUUAGUAUUACAAAUACUAUUUUUGUUACUGUUAUUUAUAUCCCACUUUUAAAACAUAUAAUGCAUGGGAUGUAUACUGUACUAUUUAUUGAUUAUAAAUUCUAAUUCCUUGUCUUUGGACUUUUUUUUUUAUUUAUUCCUGAAAAGAGCAAAGGGACCUCACGAUUUAGUGGUUAGAACAGUCUAGCUCCCCCUCUGGCUUCCAGGUAGCUGGUGUUAAGCUGUUUGCAGCAGCAAAGUGGGUGUUUACAUUUAGAUUAUUUUUACUCAAAAAAAGCAAAAAUAAAAUACCUGCAUUUAAAUAGUAUGGCAUAUAUUCAAGAUUGAAUUAAGAGAUAAAUUAAAUAACGGGAUAUGUUGUUCACACAUGCGUGUCAUUUAUUUUAAAAGCAUAACUGAAACAUAUUUUAGCUUUGCGCUGGACCCAUUUUAUUUAGAUUUCAAAAACCUCAAAUAAUAAUUUACUGCACUGAAUACUGACUGAGCUGCAAGUCCCUUGGUUUAAACUUUUCUUCACGGCAUCAGCUUUAGUCGAGGGCCUACCUUCCCAAUGACAGUGAUGAAAAAAAGUGAAUAUGUACCAUAAGAUGAAAAGCCAACUCAGGCUCCUUUUUUUAUCAACCACAGUGCACAUUUCAUAUCUCUACAGAUAAUAAAUACCUGCAUAUUUCGGAUGUGUUAUCUCUGCCUCUGUGCGUCUUAUCUCUGCAGCCCUGGUCGCUUUGAUUGAGGCCUGUGCUGAGGACCGCCAUUCAAGACCAACUCUGUGUGCAAACAGAAAAGUGUUAUUGUCAAGGGAGAGAAAGAAACCACACCCCUCGGGCCUCAGCCAGCCUCCCCGUGUGUGUGGUGGUUCGCUCUCUUGGGAUUUUGGGAUUGAUCUUGGACUUUGUGCUCCACAGCGGCAGCUAUGAGACACCGAGCACGUAUAGUUUCGAGUGAAAUGUUUUGUGGAGUGGAAAGUUUUCUAAAAGUCACAUGUAGCACGUGAAUGAAGACGGGAAGGCUACACGGAAAGCUGUUGCGCAGGUGUAUGCAUCACUGUGAUGUUUUUAGACUUUUCACACACUUAUUUGCAUAUGUGCACAAACACACAUCCCUUUACACCGUUCUAGGUUUUCUUGCUUUGUUCAAUAAAAACUUCUAUGAAUGUGAUGGGGUAUUUUUUUAAGAGUAUAAACCACAGAUCAGGCAUGUUGCAACUAUAAAAUUCUUAUGGCAGGAUAAUCUGAGUUCAAAUGCUGCAGCUUUACAGUAUCCUUGUAUUUUAAGUAAAAUAUGUGUGACCUGAUCUAUUUGCUUGCAUAAAACAAAAGCAAAUUUUUUUCCUACUGCUGCAACAACAACAUAUCACAUUGUUACAGUUAUAAUAAUGCUAUUUAUUGGUACUUUAAAUUUGAUACAAAGGGAAAAAAUAUAAAUUUAAAUACCCACUAAGCAGUUUUUUUUUAAGUAACCGUGCUUGUUGUUUAGAAUACUAACUAAUACUAUGUUUUUGCUAUUCUUGCUAUUCUGCGCGGUAUAACAAGCUGAUAUUAGCCGGGUAAUUAGUGGGACUACAGAGACGCAGCUCUGACCUUGCCGGCUGCAGUUUCAAAACUGUGGUACCUUAAUUAGAGUGAUGAGUGGCGCUCCUUUAGUUUCCACGCCACGACUGUGAUUUCCUGUGACCGGAAGAACACUAUGGUCACUGUAAAAAAUAUCUCCGGUCUCAUUAAAAGGGCUCGAAACCGCAGCAGCAGUCACAUGGAAAAUUUAGCAAGUUUAUAAAACUGUAACUUGUUAAAACCUUAGCUUGUAUGCCUUCACACUUCUGGACAAAAACGGGUCUGCCUCAGUAUGUUCGGCGUGAUAUUGAGCACUACGUUAGCGUAGAGGGUCUGAAACCACACAUCAGAAACCUACUCAGUUUCUUUUAGUAGCGUAGACCACACAUUUGUUUUGAAAAUUGUCUGAAAAACAUGGAAAAGACUUUCUUAAACUUUUUGUUCACUUACUAAACAUGCGUCCUGUUUCUAAGUUAACAUUAAUAUGGUUUCGGUUCCAGAAUAUUUCUAGAGGGAAUGCAGGGAAUUACGGGUAGGAACUGAAACUUGAAGAGACACACGGUUACAGUGCACCGACUCUGCGAACUCCUCGUCAUGCAUGGGCGGAACAUGAAACGGUCCCUCCGGCUGGAAGAGCGAGUGCUGUGUGGGCUUCCUGAAGUGGUGCACCGCUGGGUCAUCGGAGAGCCGCGGCGCAUGCUUGGGAACAGAGCAGCAAUCUGUGUUAUUUCAGCAGCAGCCUGUUGGAUGAAGGGCCCUUCCAUGGGCAUUAUGGAUUAAUCUUUGGCAGGAUCUCAACUGGAUCAGCCCAAAAAUGGGAUGUUUAACCUCACGUGUACCAGAACUCCUGCGAUAAAGCAGGCUAGAGAGGAUUGAAUGUGACCCACAUCGGGACUGUGUUCUAAAUCUAUUACCUGUGUUGACGGUUUAUGAAGGUGUGUGCUUAGGCGUGCGUUAUUUGCAAAUCCACAGUGUUAUUCCAUGGGAGCCAUGACUAGCUGAAAGAUUAAAUGUUAGCUCAUUUUGAGAUGAUGUAUUAUUAUUUAAUAUCAUUUUUGGAUGCACUAGUCAGAUGCCCUCAGAUCAGAAUCUGUUUUUUUAUAUAUAUAUAUUAUUUGGAUCUGCACCAUACAUUGCAUCAUACAUUAAAGCCAAAUUCCCACUAUGUUUACCCUCUAACCACAAUGAUCAAAUUGCCAAGUAUCAAAUAAAGGCUAUAGUGACAUGCGUAAA